rnacentral:rRNA from 1 species
UAAGAAUAUUCCGCAAUGGACGGAAGUCUGACGGAGCGACGCCGCGUGGAUGAAGAAGGCUGAAAAGUUGUAAAAUCCUUUUGUUGAUGAAGAAUAAGGGUGAGAGGGAAUGCUCAUCUGAUGACGGUAAUCGACGAAUAAGCCCCGGCUAAUUACGUGCCAGCAGCCGCGGUAACACGUAAGGGGCGAGCGUUGUUCGGAAUUAUUGGGCGUAAAGGGCAUGUAGGCGGCUAUGUAAGCCUGAUGUGAAAUCCUGGGGCUUAACCCUAGAAUAGCAUUGGGUACUGUAUAGCUUGAAUUACGGAAGGGAAACUGGAAUUCCAAGUGUAGGGGUGGAAUCUGUAGAUAUUUGGAAGAACACCGGUGGCGAAGGCGGGUUUCUGGCCGAUAAUUGACGCUGAGAUGCGAAAGUGUGGGGAUCGAACAGGAUUAGAUACCCUGGUAGUCCACACUGUAAACGAUGUACACUAGGUGUUGGGGCAAGAGCUUCAGUGCCAAAGCAAACGCGAUAAGUGUACCGCCUGGGGAGUAUGCCCGCAAGGGUG